rnacentral:rRNA from 1 species
AGCGUAUAUUAAAGUUGUUGCAGUUAAAAAGCUCGUAGUUGAAUUUCGGGGUCAGUAGGUCGGUCGUGCCACUGGUAUGAACUGGUUUUACUGAUUCCUCCCUCUUGAAGAACUGUAAUGCCAUUAAUUUGGUGUUGCAGGGAAUCAGGACUGUUACUUUGAAAAAAUUAGAGUGUUUAAAGCAGGCUUUAGCUUGAAUACAUUANCGUGGAAUAAUGAAAUAGGACGUUUGAUCCUAUUUUGUUGGUUUCUAGGAUUGACGUAAUGAUUAAUAGGGAUAGUUGGGGGCAUUAGUAUUCAAUUGUCAGAGGUGAAAUUCUUGGAUUUAUUGAAGACUAACUACUGCGAAAGCAUUUGCCAAGGAUGUUUUCAUUAAUCAAGAACGAAAGUUAGGGGAUCGAAGACGAUCAGAUACCGUCGUAGUCUUAACCAUAAAC